rnacentral:rRNA from 1 species
UACCGGCGGCUCGAGUGGUGGCCGAUAUUAUUGAGUCUAAAGGGUCCGUAGCUGGCUUUGCAAGUCCCCUGGGAAAUCCAGCGGCUUAACCGUUGGGCUUCCAUGGGAUACUACAUUGCUUGGGACUGGGAGAGGUAGGAGGUACUCAGGGGGUAGGGGUGAAAUCCUGUAAUCCUCUGGGGACCACCGGUGGCGAAGGCGUCCUACCAGAACAGGUCCGACAGUGAGGGACGAAAGCUAGGGGC